CCUACGGGAGGCAGCAGUGAGGAAUAUUGGUCAAUGGUCGGGAGACUGAACCAGCCAAGCCGCGUGAGGGAGGAAGGUACUGCGUAUUGUAAACCUCUUUUGUCAGGGAACAAAGGCGGGGACGUGUCGCCGGAAGGGUGUACCUGAAGAAAAAGCCUCGGCUAACUCCGUGACAGCAGCCGCGGUAAAACGGAGGAUGCGAGGGUUAACCGGAUUUAGUGGGUUUAAAGGGUGCGCAGGCGGACGGUUAAGUCAGCGGUCAAAGGGCGGGGCUCAACCCCGGCCCGCCGUUGAAACUGGCAGUCUCGAGUGGGAGAGAAGUAUGCGGAAUGCGCGGUGUAGCGGUGAAAUGCAUAGAUAUCGCGCAGAACUCCGAUUGCGAAGGCAGCAUACCGGCGCCACACUGACGCUGAGGCACGAAAGCGUGGGUAUCGAACAGGAUUAGAUACCCAGGUAGUC
rnacentral:rRNA from 1 species